CGUUAUCUGAUUUGACAAAAUUUUAAUGCAAUUGCCCCAACCAUGAUGAUGAAAGUGCUCACAAAAAGUAAUAACUCACCAAAGGUGCAUUCCUGCUACAAAAAACUAAGCAAGUCUGAAAUUGAAAAUAUUGUUGCCGAUUCUUUGGGAGAUAUACGGAAUGCCAUAAAUUCUAUGCAGUUCAUCUGCAUGUCUUGUACGUUAUCUACAUAAUGAUUCUAAUUUUUAUAAACAUAUGAUUCUUCAUUUUUCGUGUUGCAAAAACACUAUGCGUUUGAUAAAAUUAUCUUAGGAUUGACUUUAUGUUUAUUGCAUUUUUAGAAAUAACUUAGAAACAUUGUUUAAGUUUAUCAUAUAAUGAACUUCCAUUAUAUGUUAAAUGUUAUAGACUUUCUUUAAUGCAUAUAAUAAUGAUUCUAAUUUUUAUGUAAUUUUUUAUUUUGUGUGUGACAAAAGCACUAUGGUUAUGAUAGGUUUAUCUUGGAAUUGACUUUUAUUUAUAUUGCAUUUUUAAAAAUAGCUUAGAAACAUUGUUAAAGUUUAUCAUA